CAUUUUGUGGUGCAGUGGUUUGAGUAUUGGACUAUGACUCUAGAGGCCAGAGUUUAAAUCCCUGCUGAACCA